ACUGUUACUGGGCAGACGUGCUGAGGGAGGAUACAAAAAUAUUGGGAUCAAAACAAAAACGGCGAGUGCGCGGUCCGGACCUGGGGGAGCGCGGACCGGGUUGGAACAUCGCUGAGUGUCCAUAAGAGGCUGCAGAUAUACCAUUAACACCAUAAGAUCAUUGUCCCUCGUGUUUGCAGACAGGUGAUACUAGGAAACCAAUCAGAAUAUUCACAAUGGAACUUGAGAAUCCAGCUGAAAUUAAUGCUAAUGUUGUUGUUGUUGGUAAGUAUCUCAUGGCUCCAUUUCGCUUCCAGGGGUAAAUAGAUGUUUACGAUUGCUUCUCCCGCUGGGCCGUUUUCUACAGACUGCUCAGAUUUUACUUAUAAUCCUCAGACCGUUUUUGGGGGAUGUUCUUGUUUAUUAUACUCUAAAUCAAGUGACCUUUCAUGGGAUUUCCAGAAGCACUGAGGAAGUUUAUACAGAACAGAACAGAAUGUUUGUGGUUACAGUGGUUUGUUUUGUUUUUUUCUUUCUUUCUUUGUGGGAUCCAACAAAAAUGACAACCAAAACCAUUUGGUUUUUAUCAGUUUACUAGAUAAAAAUGUAUUUAUGCCCUUACAAAGUCCUAAAACUAUCUCUUUUCUACUUACCUCAUUCGUUUUUUCUUCCUGUUCUACGGUUGUUUCAAUGAAAUGUGACCACUGUCUUCUGUGCAUCGCCUGAUUCCCUGAUACAUUCAUUAUUGCUCUACUUUAUGGAUAAACGAUCACCUUUGAUUCAAUAAAAUUCAAAGUUAUAAAAAUGUGUAUCAGUUCGUGCUUUUUCUGUUGGAAUGAAUUCCUUGGUCUAAUACCUUAUUUGCUGCCGUACCCUAAUGGCAUAUAGAAAUGUAUGUGACCUUUAAAAACA